rnacentral:rRNA from 1 species
AGAGUUUGAUCCUGGCUCAGGACGAACGCUGGCGGCGUGCUUAACACAUGCAAGUCGAACGCUGAUCCAUCUUCGGGUGGUGAUGAGUGGCGAACGGGUGAGUAACACGUGGGCAACCUGCCCCCGGCUCUGGGAUAACUCCAAGAAAUUGGGGCUAAUACCGGAUGUCCUCUGCUGGCCGCAUGGUCUGGUGGUGGAAAGGGUUUCCGGCUGGGGAUGGGCCCGCGGCCUAUCAGCUUGUUGGUGGGGUAGUGGCCUACCAAGGCGACGACGGGUAGCCGGCCUGAGAGGGUGACCGGCCACACUGGGACUGAGACACGGCCCAGACUCCUACGGGAGGCAGCAGUGGGGAAUAUUGCGCAAUGGGCGGAAGCCUGACGCAGCGACGCCGCGUGGGGGAUGACGGCCUUCGGGUUGUAAACCUCUUUCAGCAGGGACGAAGCCGGAAGGUGACGGUACCUGCAGAAGAAGCACCGGCCAACUACGUGCCAGCAGCCGCGGUAAUACGUAGGGUGCAAGCGUUGUCCGGAAUUAUUGGGCGUAAAGAGCUCGUAGGCGGUUCGUCGCGUCGGCUGUGAAAACCUGAGGCUCAACCUCAGGCCUGCAGUCGAUACGGGCGGACUGGAGUUCGGCAGGGGAGACUGGAAUUCCUGGUGUAGCGGUGAAAUGCGCAGAUAUCAGGAGGAACACCGGUGGCGAAGGCGGGUCUCUGGGCCGAUACUGACGCUGAGGAGCGAAAGCGUGGGGAGCGAACAGGAUUAGAUACCCUAGUAGUCC